GCCUCGGUGGUGUAGUGGUAGAGCACGCGUCCUCGGAUAGGAUGAAACGCGCGUUCGAUUUCCGGCCGAGGCC